UACGAAGGGGGCUAGCGUUGCUCGGAAUCACUGGGCGUAAAGCGCACGUAGGCGGCUUUUUAAGUCAGGGGUGAAAUCCUGGAGCUCAACUCCAGAACUGCCUUUGAUACUGAGAAGCUUGAGUCCGGGAGAGGUGAGUGGAACUGCGAGUGUAGAGGUGAAAUUCGUAGAUAUUCGCAAGAACACCAGUGGCGAAGGCGGCUCACUGGCCCGGUACUGACGCUGAGGUGACGAAGCGUGGGAG
rnacentral:rRNA from 1 species